UACGUAGGGGGCUAGCGUUGUCCGGAAUCAUUGGGGGUAAAGCGCGUGUAGGCGGCCCGGUAAGUCCGAUGUGAAAGUCCAGGGCUCAACCCUGGGAUGCCGGUGGAUACUGUCGGGCUCGAGUCCGGAAGAGGCGAGUGGAAUUCCUGGUGUAGCGGUGAAAUGCGCAGAUAUCAGGAGGAACACCAAUGGCGAAGGCAGCUCGCUGGGACGUGACUGACGCUGAGACACGAAAGCCAGGGGAGCGAACGGG
rnacentral:rRNA from 1 species